GGGUGUAAACUGACAGAGGAAAGCUGUAGAGUUCUGUCCUCAGUUCUCAGAUCAAACUCCUCCAGACUGAGAGAACUGAACCUGAGUUACAAUAACCUGCAGGAUUCAGGAGUGAAGCUGCUCUCUGCUGGACUGGAGAAUCCACACUGUACACUGGAGAUACUGAGGAUGUGUGACUGCAGGAUUACAGAUGAAGGUUGUGCUGCUCUGGCUUCUGCUCUGAGGUCAAACUCCUCAUCACACCUGAGAGAACUGGAUCUGUUCGGUAAUAAUCCAGGAGAAUCAGGAGAGAAGCUGCUCUCUGAUCUACUGAAGGAUCCACACUGUAACCUGGAGACACUACACAUUAAGGGUAAUAAACUCACCAGGACUGGCGUAUGACAGGAGUCUCACCUCAAACCUCUUCUCCAGGAUAAAGCAGUCUUGGUGAAGAGUUAGAACCCGUCCCACAUUUCCAGCAGUUUGGGAGUGGAAA